rnacentral:misc_RNA from 1 species
GAUGAAGAACGUAGCGAAAUGCGAUAAGUAGUGUGAACUGCAGAAUUCAGUGAAUCAUCGAAUCUUUGAACGCACAUUGCGCCCCUUGGUAUUCCAUGGGGCAUGCCUGUUCGAGCGUCAUUUGUACCUUCAAGCUUUGCUUGGUGUUGGGUGUUUGUCUCGCCUUUGCGUGUAGACUCGCCUUAAAAUAAUUGGCAGCCGGCGUAUUGAUUUCGGAGCGCAGUACAUCUCGCGCUUUGCACUCAUAACGACAGCGUCCAAAAGUACAUUUUACACUCUUGACCUCGGAUCAGGUAGGGAUACCCGCUGAACUUAAGCAUAUCAAUAAGCGGAGGA